rnacentral:lncRNA from 1 species
CAGGAGGACUCAACCGGUUUGUGUCGGAUCUAGCCGCCAUUACAUUGACUCUGGCUAGGCUGCCGGUGUGGUGGCUACUUUUGCAGCCUAAGUGCCUGCAUAUAAAGUUAUGGUUCUUGUUGUGACAGCCAGGGCGCAUAAAGAAUAACAGGAAUGGGCUGUGCAUACGGAUUAGAGCUUGUUGUAAUUGCAUGUUUAUUACCUGGUCAUCUUCUUGCUAGAGGCUUCAAUGCAAGAGAUCCCAAAUGUCUAAAGGAAGUCACAGCAGAAGGCUGCGACACCGUCCUCUUGGGCUGGAGCUACAUCAAGGCCUCAAAUAAAUGUGCUAAAGGAUUUGUCUGCUCAGAAAAUGUCAACAGAUUUUCUAAUGAAGUGGAGUGUUCAAAAAUUUGCCCAGCCAUACCGGGCAAGAGACCAAGACCACGAAUAAAGAACUGCCGGUAUUGGCUUAUGCAGGGAGGGGAAUGCCAAAAACAUUGGUUUGAUUUCAGAGAAGGCUUAUUUGGAGUCAGGCAUCGAAUGCUGUAUUACACUGGCUGCGACGGUGACAAGCAUCGGGUCUUUGCGUACGACUUUUUUUGGAAAAGAUGCCGAGGU